UAGCACAGAGAGCUUGCUCUCGGGUGACGAGCGGCGGACGGGUGAGUAAUGUCUGGGAAACUGCCUGAUGGAGGGGGAUAACUACUGGAAACGGUAGCUAAUACCGCAUAACGUCGCAAGACCAAAGUGGGGGACCUUCGGGCCUCAUGCCAUCAGAUGUGCCCAGAUGGGAUUAGCUAGUAGGUGGGGUAACGGCUCACCUAGGCGACGAUCCCUAGCUGGUCUGAGAGGAUGACCAGCCACACUGGAACUGAGACACGGUCCAGACUCCUACGGGAGGCAGCAGUGGGGAAUAUUGCACAAUGGGCGCAAGCCUGAUGCAGCCAUGCCGCGUGUGUGAAGAAGGCCUUCGGGUUGUAAAGUACUUUCAGCGGGGAGGAAGGCGAUAAGGUUAAUAACCUUGUCGAUUGACGUUACCCGCAGAAGAAGCACCGGCUAACUCCGUGCCAGCAGCCGCGGUAAUACGGAGGGUGCAAGCGUUAAUCGGAAUUACUGGGCGUAAAGCGCACGCAGGCGGUCUGUCAAGUCGGAUGUGAAAUCCCCGGGCUCAACCUGGGAACUGCAUUCGAAACUGGCAGGCUAGAGUCUUGUAGAGGGGGGUAGAAUUCCAGGUGUAGCGGUGAAAUGCGUAGAGAUCUGGAGGAAUACCGGUGGCGAAGGCGGCCCCCUGGACAAAGACUGACGCUCACGUGCGAAAGCGUGGGGGAGCAAACAGGAUUAGAUACCCUGGUAGUCCACGCCGUAAACGAUGUCGAUUUGGAGGUUGUGCCCUUGAGGCGUGGCUUCCGGAGCUAACGCGUUAAAUCGACCGCCUGGGGAG
rnacentral:rRNA from 1 species